GUGUCAGCCGCCGCGGUAAGACGUAGGGGGCGAGCGUUAUCCGGAUUCACUGGGCGUAAAGGGCGCGCAGGCGGCUACGUAAGUCCGGCGUGAAAUCCCAUGGCUUAACUGUGGAACUGCGUCGGAUACUGCGUUGGCUUGAGGAUGGUAGAGGCCAUUAGAACUAGCGGUGUAGCGGUGAAAUGCGCAGAUAUCGCUAGGAAUGCCGGUGGCGAAGGCGGAUGGCUGGGCCACUCCUGACGCUGAGGCGCGAAAGCUAGGGGAGCGAACCGGAUUAGAAACCCCAGUAGUCC
rnacentral:rRNA from 1 species